CAGUGGCUCACUGCAAGCUCCGCCUCCUGGGUCCACGCCAUUCUCCUGCCUCAGCCUCCUGAGUAGCUGAGAGGACAGGCGCCUGCCACCACGCACGGCUAAUUUUUUUUUGUAUUUUUAGUAGAGGCGGGGUUUCACCAUGUUAGCCAGGGUGGUCUCGAUCUCCCGACCUCGUGAUCUGCCCGCCUCGGCCUCCCAAAGUGCUGGGAUUACAGGCAUGAACCACCGCCCCUGGCCAAGGAUGAAGAGAUUCUUCUAAUGCUUCGGGUUUUUACAUAAAAAGUGAGGCUUACUGAUGGUAUCUACCUCACCGAGUUAGUGUGAAGAUUAAAUUAGGUUAGGAUUUUAAUAAGACCUUGGCAGUUCUGUGUCAUUGUAACUCUGGGGGAACUACAGGAUGUCAUUUGGAGUAAUAAAUCCAGACUGUAUCUUAUCACCGAUCGCAGAAGAGAAGAAAAUUAACCAGCUGAGAGUGUGACUAGAAAUGAAACCCACAGAAAAGGGAGUGAAAAAGAGACCACUUUAUCUAUGUGCGCACAAAGUGUGGUAACACAGAAUCAGUGAGCAAUGGGGAAAAGCACUAUUCUUGGGCACUCCUUCCUCAUCAAUCUGCAACACCUCUUAAAAUGCUUGAGCUUUUUCCUUUUUCUAAAAAUCAUCUUAUUUUUGCCCCUUUAUCAUUCUUACCCUACCUCCAUGGAACUUUUUGAUUAUUACCCUCUUCUUGCUGAGAAAGAUCUCCUUAAUCAUGUUUUCUUGUUUUCUCACUUUCUCUAGCUUCUGCUUCUCUCUCAAAAGGUUUUGUUGUUGCUUUUUGCUUCUCCACCAGAUAGUACACUAUGUACAGUCAGAGGAGUGUGUGCCUCAUUCACCACUGUAUCCUCUGUGUUUAUGGUAUGCAUGGCACAUAAUGGGUACUCAGUAUUCUGCCUAAAUUUGUCUCACUGUCAUACAUACACAAGCAGAAUAGGUACAUUGAUGAGCUUCUCGCCUUUCUCUCUCAGCUUAUCAAGAACAUACUGUACUUCUAAAAAUGCUAUAUCUAAUAUACAUGGCUUUCCCUUUCUAAGCCCUUUGAGGGUGGAUUCCAAGCCCUACAUUUCCUCUACUGCACUGGAACAGUUGUUAAUUCAUAACAGAGGCUCAGUUUUAUACCAAAUUUCCUGGGAGUAAAAUUACUCGGAUUCUAACCCAAGCUGUUAACCUCUCAUCAUCCAUGUUUGCUUGACCAAGGUAUUACAACUCUCUGAAGCUCAGUUUUCCCUUCUUCAACAUGAAAGCCUAGAAAAUUGAUAUGGUUUGGCUGUGUCUCCUCCCAAGUCUCAUAUUGAAUGGUAGUUCCCAUAACCUCCAUGUGUCAUGGGAGGGACCAGGUGGAGGUAAUUGAAUCAUGGGGGUGGUUUUCCCCAUGCUGUUCUCAUGAUAAUGAGUGAGUCUCACAAGAUCUUAUGGUUUUAUAAGCAUCUGGCAUUUCCCCUGCUGGCACUCAUUCUCUCUUGCCUGCUGCUAUGUAAGAUGUGCUUUGCUCUUCCUUUGCCUUCCACCAUGACUGUAAGGCCUCCCCAGUGAUGUGGAACUGUGAAUCCAUUAAACCUCUUUUUCUUUAUAAAUUACCCAUUCUUGGGUGUGUCUUUAUCAGCAGCAUGAGAACAAACUAGUACGAUGACCUUUCAAAUCUAUUUGCAUAUUCAGG
rnacentral:lncRNA from 10 species